ensembl:miRNA
AAUCAGGGUGGAGUGUAGUUCUGAGCAGAGCCUUAAAGGAUGAGGUAUGUUCAAGACUGAAUGACACCUUUGUGAU